GGGGAUGAUGGGCUUAGACAGGAGAAUAUUUUUUGAACUGGCAGGCCGAGGUGGAGUGACCUCGUUAACAACGCUCCACGAAGCAAGUGUAAACUACUUCAAACCAGUAAAGUCGCCUUUUGGCGCCUUUGCUCUAGCUUAAUCAUAAGCUAGUGUCAUAGUUGUCGACUUCCGAUACGCAAUUAUGGCAAAAUAAUUUCGGGAUAGGAUUUAGGAAUUGCUUAUUCUCAAAUCUGAAACUAAAAAGCUCGGUAGCUUGAAAUUUUGCCGGCUUCUGAUUCAAACUGCUUAAAACAAAAAACUGGCUAAACUUGUAGAAGGUUCACAAAAUUUUUCUUGCACGCGAGUUCAACUCUCGCCAUCUCCAUAG
rnacentral:tmRNA from 1 species